rnacentral:rRNA from 1 species
UACAGAGGUCUCAAGCGUUGUUCGGAUUCAUUGGGCGUAAAGGGUGCGUAGGUGGCGCGCUAAGUCAGGUGUGAAAUCCCGGGGCUUAACCUCGGGACUGCAUUUGAUACUGGCGUGCUUGAGGACUGGAGAGGAGACUGGAAUUCACGGUGUAGCAGUGAAAUGCGUAGAUAUCGUGAGGAAGACCAGUGGCGAAGGCGGGUCUCUGGACAGUUCCUGACACUGAGACACGAAGGCCAGGGGAGCAAACGGG